rnacentral:misc_RNA from 1 species
CCGAGUUCUAGGGGUCUUCGGACCUCUUCUCUCACACCCUAUGUGUACCUACCUCUGUUGCUUUGGCGGGCCGCGGUCCUCCGCGGCCGGCCCCCUAACCGGGGCUGGCCAGCGCCCGCCAGAGGACUACCAAACUCCAGUCAGUAAACGUAGCUGUCUGAUCAAAAGUUUAAUAAACUA